ACUUGCUAAAUCAUCCCAACUGUCCAUUCCCAUCCCUUAAUUUGAACUGUCCCUUCUUACUCCCCCCCCUCUUCUAUGUAUAUAUAUUAUUAUUUUUUAUUAUAACCCAGUUAUUACAGAAUAUGUGAGAAAAAAAAAUAAAAAAUAAAAAAUAAAAAUUAAAAAUAGGAAGUUGCAGGUUGGAGUGGAAGCAAAGAGUUGCUAUUAUAAAAUCUUCUUGAUACAAAGGUAUCAAGUUGGGAAAAUAGAUAAGUGUUGGGCUGAGUAUUAGAUAGACCUGAGAAUGAUUUUGGUGAGGGAAGUCUUUGAGGAAAAAUGAGAAAUUUAUCUAUAUCUAUUUCAAUUAUAUUUGGUUUAAGUUUAAAUUGACAAAUAAUUAUGUAGAUGUACCUGAUUGAACAAGAUAGGUUGGAGAAAUGAAGAGAGAAAUCAGUGUUUGCUACCGAUUGAACAAGAGAAGUCGAAGAUGAAGAUGGUUUGCAGUAUGCGGCUCUUCAGUGUCGGGUUUAGAAGAAAAAUAAUAAUAAUAUACCCUAG
rnacentral:lncRNA from 1 species